ACAACAAAGAGCAACACAAGACCAUUCAGGUGCUCUUCUUACAGUUUGGUAAACAGCAUUUAGGUUUUGAAAGCCUGCGAUGCAUUUAAACACACAAGGCAACACGAAACCACAGUUUUGCAACCCAAAACAUAAAGUUACAAGAACCUAAUCCAGGCACCCCAUCAUCUUUGACUUAAUCCCUGCCUAGUAGUUUGGAAAAUUUGUAAACCUAACCUCAGAUCUGCAGUUGCUAAAUUCCUAAGAUUGUUUGCAUGCCCUUGGGGUGUGAUUAAAAUCUCUUAAAUCUCUCAUGUGCCAUUUCCCUGAGAGCGUCGCUGACGGGCCAGGCUGGCAGCUGAACGGGGUCGUUGGGCUUUCCUUAAUCGCAGUUCAGAGCAGAUCCAUUUUCCACAUGGUUAAGACGCAGCAUGCUGACCACGGGCAUCUUUAUCAUUCAGCACCUCCCCCCCUUCUUUCUUACUGCUGCACUACUACUCUGUCAUAACCAAAGAAAUAUUGACAGUCAUCUCUAAACUACUUCCCUCGCACCCUUUUAUGGAGCAAACUUCAUAGGCUCUUUCAUUUUGCUGUGAUUCAGCAGAAUUGAGUUUUUCUGUAAUCCAUUUCCUGCUAACUAAACAACAGAUUACUCUGGCUGGUGAUUACUUAUUGUUAGGCUAACAUUCGUUUCUAUCCGAUGCCCUUUUUACUUUGCAUUUGUGGACACGUGUGUUAACCACAAGCACCCACAAACACAGUCUGGACCUCCGUGCCAGCCCUGCAUGUCACACCCUGCUCCUUCAAUAACUGUACUGGGAGUUGUUCAACACCACAAAGGAGCAUGCCCCAUGCAGAGCUGGUUGAUAUGCGGUUAUAUGCAAGCGCAGAUAACACACUCGCAUUCUUCAGCGUACAAUUAAGUUUGUGCAACUGUUUACAUAAAAGGUAACACCUUCAUUAGCAGUUAGGCAAAGCUGAAAAACAGCCGGUCACACUUGACUCCCAAAAAGGAAACUAUUUUGGUAAUCAGUCAAUCAUUUGCUCUAUUGUCUGCAGCUAAACAGCAUAAAAUUAAUUAGUUUAAAUCUGCAACUGAAACUUUUCUCUGUUUUGUAUAACUGUAACCUGCAUGCAUUUGGAUUUUUCUGUAUCAUUUUAAACUUCAUAAAGUUAGACGUGACCUUAGGCAAACCCAACACCAAUGCAUCGUGUUAAAUCUAUUGUAUCUAGUGGGGUUUUGCAGCAUUUAUGAGGACACUGUGGGGCUCGGCGGCGAGGUGCAGGGUGCAGGGUGGACCCAAGCCUUCAAAUUGGCAAAUGCACAUAGUCAAAGUAAUGAAAGAGGUUAUUCAUUCACACAGAGUGAAACGAUUACAUGCAGACAGAAGGCACUCAUUCACACUAACCCAGGCAAAUUAUAUUCAUACAUGCAUGUGCACACAGACACAAGCAAACACAAGAAAAGCAACGGGGUCAUGUGCUCCAUUCAGACUUAUUCAGUUACACAAAGCACAGAGGACACUCCCAUUGAUUCGCUUACGGAAGUAGCUGCAAUGAGAAGAACCAGUGAAACACAGACAGUGCUGGGAAAGUAUGUCAUUUAUAGCAAAAGCCUCCUUUGCUUGUGUUGGACCUUACUCAUGCUGAAUCUGAGGCGUGUGCUGAACAUACUCACUAUUAAUCAUCACUGUGCAAGUACAAGUCUCCAUGUUCCACACAAACAGUCGAGGAAUAGAAAAGCAACACAGCACAGAAUCUCCUGUAUUUGUCAACAAAAUUCCUUCUUUUAUAAAUAAAACCAAACAUUUAAGAAGGUUCUGAGGGUAAAAAAAAUAAAACAAAGCUUAUGACUGUUGACUAAUUUAUCAAUCAUUACCUAAUUUUAGAUCAGUAAGCCAGUUGGUCAUUUCAAACCUUACUUCCUACACAUCGUGCCGUUUCUGCUAAGGCUGAACCGUCCCUUCCAGAAAUCUGCACCCAGUCAUUACCAGCCUGUUCAGCACUGACCCAGAUGAUACCAACAACUGCCUGCAUGGAAACUGUGAGUUGCCAGUGGGUUGGACAGACUGCGCCCACAUAAGCUGGGCUCACCAGCCACAAUAUGUCUGUAAGGGGUUGUUGGGGAGGAUAGAGCGUAUCCCAGCUGCCACAGGGAGAGAGACGGGGUCCACCUGGACAGGUCACCAGCAUGCCGCAGGACUGAGAGGCAGACGACCAGCUGCACUCACAUUCAGAUCUACGGGCGAUUUAGAAUCACCAAUCAACCGAACCCCACCGAGUCCCUGUCUUUGGACUGUGGGAGGAAGCCCGAGUACCCGGGGAGAGAACCUGUGCAGACACAGGGAGAACAUGCAAAGUGUACACAGAAGGGCCCCAGGUGGGUUAGAACCUGGUACACUCAGCUGUGAGGCUAACCCCCAUGCCACCGUGCUGCCUUUAAUCAGACUUUGAAAACACUGACACAUCACUUCACUUGUUUUCCUCUCCAGCUGGCCACGAAACAUGAUAUUCCACUCAUAUCGCCAACUAGAAAACAGCAGUAUCAUCGCACCUCCUCCCUGUGUUCUCUCACAGAGCAAAACAUUAUCAUUUACAUCUUUUAAAAACCACCUAGCGCCCAGCCUGAAGCAAUCUCACACAUCCAGCUGCGGUUUGUGGAUAAAGUCCUGCAUGUUGAACAGAACGGUACUGAUGAUGUCAUCCUGGAGCUGAUACACAGACAGGGGAACAGAUGCUGUGACACUACGACAGCAGCUGGGAUGAAGUACAGACACAUUAGUUUGAACCCUCAGCUAAAGCUUUCUAAACGACCUUUCUGAAUAAGACACGUUCAGGUGUUGGCUCGGAGAUCUUUGCACCGCCUUCACCUGACAGUGUUUGUGGUUUGACACUCACAGAAAUGUUUUAUCCCGUGUUAAGGGGAAAUUCUCUCGUUAAUUACUGCAGUAAACUGUUACUGCUCCUCUCACCGAUGAUGACUACAGGCCCGUAUGGAGCACAUCACCACCACUGCAGGCUAGCUCGGCAUACUUGGCAGCUUUCUUCUUUAAACAGCAGUUUACCGACAGUUGAAUGACAUCGGCAUGGCAUCACGCCAGAAACGCAUCUCAGCUGCUGUCAAACGCACAUUUGUAAAGCGAACAGAUUUCCUUCACUAGCUAACUGAGCGCAAACGACAGGCGGGCUAACUUAUCCACA